rnacentral:tRNA from 1 species
GGGCCCGUAGCUUAGUUGGUAGAGCGCCGGUUUUGCAUACCGGAGGUCGUCGGUUCGAGUCCGAUCGGGUCCA